UACGGAGGGUGCAAGCGUUAUCCGGAUUCACUGGGUUUAAAGGGUGUGUAGGCGGAUUUUUAAGUCAGUGGUGAAAUCUCCGGGCUCAACCCGGAAACUGCCAUUGAUACUAUUAGUCUUGAAUUCUGUUGAGGUGGGCGGAAUACAUCAUGUAGCGGUGAAAUGCUUAGAUAUGAUGUAGAACACCGAUUGCGAAGGCAGCUCACUAAGCAGACAUUGACGCUGAGGCACGAAAAGCGUGGGGAUCAAACAGG
rnacentral:rRNA from 1 species